AGUUAUCAUAGCGACAUUCUCAGUACCAUAUCGACUGUUUGCUUGCGCUGAAAGUCCGUGUUGGUUGAUAGGAAACUUUCAGAGAAAUCCCCAAGACAGUUUACCACAGUAUUUCUGAAGAAGUGUGGAUUAAUUCAGUGUCUCCGGUUUGUUUGUGAUAUUUCUAUUCCUAUUUCAGUUCAAUGUUCAAUUUGGCAGUGAAUCUCUUCGGAUUAUGUAAUAUUAUAAUGUGCCUUGCACAGAGAGAAGUGCGAAGAGUUCAAUUCGAUGUGCAGGUUGUGCAUUUAAAUAAUAAAUCAAGUGCAGACUUCAUUACAUAACAGUGAUUUGUGAGAGAAAUUGGAGGAGAAUAAAAAAGCAUUCUUCCAGAGUUAGAGUUUUCUCUUAUUUACGCCAAUGUGCUUCGAAGUAUCGUGAUUUGAUCUCUCAUGGCAGAAUACAAACGUGGUCAGAAGGGAGAUUUCCAUUGCCAUUGGAGCUGUGACUGAAGAUUACUCUUCGUCACUUCUUAUAAUGUGGCUAUAAAGAUAUAUUUUGUAUAACAAUCACCUUUCGUACACAAAUAUCCAAUGACAUCAGAUGAAUUUCUCUUGUCAAUAUUGUGACUAAUAAAGCGCGUACGUGAACCUCAAGAUACUUUAUUCAGUGAGAAAAAUUCCAAAUCUUAAAUUAGUUCCGUAAUCCGCCUCUUAAACCACAAAACUUCCACAAUUACCUGAUUGAUUAUGUUAAUCUUCUCUGGCUAAAAGCGCUAAUCUUCAACCUCUUCAGCUUCUGAUUUGACAUGCGUGACGCAAAAGGAUCCACAAUAGCCAAGCGUAUCGCAAAAGAGGCAGAAUUUCGCUUUCAAUUCAAUUUUUGCAAUUAUAAAUAUGGUCAUGACCGUCGUGACAGAAUUUUUGGAACACGGAAGGUUAUCUGGCUUCUAGGAAAAAGAUAAGCGUGGCCCAAAGAAUGCAAAAACUGACUGUUUUAUCAACCAUUAUUGGAGAAAGUGUUUGCUUAUCAAAGUCAACAGUCUCAUAACAGCGUACUUCACAUGACGGGAUCAAGACAAAAAUAUUUUCUUGCGGCUUUCAUAAGGAGCAACUCAAGUGGAGCACACGGGCGUUCGUCAUCGAUGAGCAACGUCGUCGGCGGCAUAUUUGGUCGCCUCUUUGCCAAUGCCUGGAAGUGCGAACUGGCGGACACGAAGCCGAUGAAAUGGUGGGAACGCUUAACCAUAGAUUUGGACGUUUGAUGACCUCACGAAUGAGCUGCUCAUGCAUUUUUGGUGUGGAAAAAAGUAAUUAAAUUUUUUCCGUGGCAGACCGUCGAACAAGUUUCGCGGGGAAGACACGCCGGGCCUCAGACACAAAGUUUUACGGGAAUUUUUUGUGUGGCCGGUGAGAAGAGCAGAAUGUGAAAAACUACCGGACAAAGGAGAGCCGACAGUCAAAUCCAGCGACCAAGGAGUCUCACACACCAUUAGCUAUAAAAAAUCAUGGACACAAUAAAAUUAUAAAAGCAUCAAACUGGCACUUCAUAUUACCAUAACAAUAUUCCAUAAAUAAAUGGAGCUUUUUCCACACUGUGCAAGACACCCGUGCUAUGAAAUUGGUUAAUAUUUUGAUUGGGUUUCAUCCAUAAUGCCACUUUUUACACACUUACCAAAAAGCCAUACUAUAAUGUAUGUGGAGUGGAUAGUUUGUUUGUACAAUUCCCGGCUCUCUCGCUCUCUCGAGGCUUUUUUGUCGCCUCAGCUGAAAUGUGUUGAAAAGCAUAUUAAGAAUAUGGUAAUGGGAUUUUAAACAUGAAUAUCUCGAUUGACUUACUAAUCAUUAUCACUUCGACACUCUGUGGAUAAUGUAGAGAUAUUUGUGAGUGUUUUUUUGUUGACUCUGUAAUCUCAUAAAUUUAAUGGCUCGUUGAUAUAUGCCACUAUAGCGUGGCGACAAAUUAAUUUGGAAGAGAUGUAUUAUAUCAAUAACAGAGAUGAGAUAGAGCCAAAUAAAUGUGCAAUUAAAUUAAUUUAGUGCACAGUAAAUAGAAUAUCCUCCCGAGCUUCGAUGUGCUUCGAAAGCUGCUCAUCUGCAAACUCAUAUACAUAUAAUAGAUACGCUAGAGAAUCAAUUGAAGUCACCCAGAAAUCUGCAGAGUGAAGAGAAGUUCUUGCGCUUAUUCCACAGCAUAAAGUAUUCUCAAGUGCGUAAUGAGCAAUUUUUCAGUCGUCGAUAAUAUGUUUAACUUGUGUUACAUCUCUCGCUGGCGCAUACAUAUGUGAAGAAUAAAAUGAAAAUUAUAGCAUUAGUGAAAAGAAUCCCUGCUCGAAUGCAAAUGCGGCAAAUCGUGAACAUGCAUAAACAAUGCCAAUUUAUGGAGUGCUUAUUCUUUACACUUAUCCUCCUCAUAACAAAAUUAUUUCACCAAGAAUUGUGCUGCGAAGACUCGAGGUUGAGUAAUUGUCGAUAAGCAGAUGUUUUAAGCGUAUUUUUUUCAGCUUACUUAGCAAUAAAGCAUUUGGAUUAGAUUGAUGAAGUCUUUUUUCGUGGCGAUAGAAAGUGCCAAAGAGAUUAUUGCAAUUAUUCUUAUGCAUGUACAAUUGCUUGUCUGUCAUGUGCCAGCUUUUAUUUAAUUUCAAGCCGUCCCCAUGAGGCAUGUUUAUACAUUGUAUGUUGUGAGCUUUUGAUGUCGGCAAUGAGUCAUUAUAGUCAAUGAUUGAUUCACUUAUCUUAAUUAUAAGAACCAAAACAACUUUUGCAGCUGAAGAAUAGAUUACACAUCGGGAGAGGUAAAAAAAACUCUAGAGCUUUGAGUGACAGAAGAUCGCUGGUGGUGUGUGAAAAAUCCUUAAGGACGAACUAAUGAGGUGCCCAUAAAUAUUUACUUCAGUUUCAAUGUCACGCUUCACGAACAAUUUAUUUGAUUUAUUGAUGGAAAUAUGGGUUUGUUUUACAAUGCCAUAAACUACAGCGGAGGAACUCCAAAUAUUGCUUUUAUCUCAGUUCAUGCCGCUUUUCUAUAAGGGUUAAACUGCCAGAGUCUUAUCAAUUUUAUAAAAAUAAAUAAAUGUAUUACUUGUCAAUAUAAAUAUAGUAUGAAAAAUGCUCACCAGUUUUGAAAGAAUGUCUGCGUUAUCAGUGUACUGAGGAAGUGCAACGAACUCGUUUUAUUACACCAUGUUGUGAAAUUUAAUAAUAUAUCACAUUACUUAAUUGAAUCUUCAUU